AAUAGAUACCCGGGUAGUCCUAGCCGUAAACGAUACUCGCUAGGUGUCGGCCACGGUGCGACCGUUGUCGGUGCCGUAGGGAAGCCGUGAAGCGAGCCACCUGGGAAGUACGGCCGCAAGGCUGAAACUUAAAGGAAUUGGCGGGGGAGCACCACAACGGGUGGAGCUUGCGGUUUAAUUGGAUUCAACGCCGGAAAUCUUACCGGGACCGACAGCAACAUGAAGGCCAGGCUGAAGACUUUGCCGGAUUAGCUGAGAGGUGGUGCAUGGCCGUCGUCAGUUCGUACUGUGAAGCAUCCUGUUAAGUCAGGCAACGAGCGAGACCCACGCCCACAGUUGCCAGCGUACUCUCUGGAGUGACGGGUACACUGUGGGGACCGCCGCUGCUAAAGCGGAGGAAGGAGUGGGCAACGGUAGGUCAGUAUGCCCCGAAUAUCCCGGGCUACACGCGAGCUACAAUGGUUGGUACAAUGGGUAUCUACCCCGAAAGGGGAUGGAAAUCUCCUAAAGCCAAUCUUAGUUCGGAUUGAGGGUCUGCAACUCGCCCUCA
rnacentral:rRNA from 1 species